UACGGAGGGUGCAAGCGUUAUCCGGAUUCACUGGGUUUAAAGGGUGCGUAGGUGGGUUGGUAAGUCAGUGGUGAAAUCUCCGAGCUUAACUUGGAAACUGCCAUUGAUACUAUCAGUCUUGAAUACCGUGGAGGUCAGCGGAAUAUGUCAUGUAGCGGUGAAAUGCUUAGAUAUGACAUAGAACACCAAUUGCGAAGGCAGCUGACUACGCGAAUAUUGACACUGAUGCACGAAGCGUGGGGAUCAAACAGG
rnacentral:rRNA from 1 species